rnacentral:rRNA from 1 species
GACGAACGCUGGCGGCGUGCCUAAUACAUGCAAGUUGAGCGCUGAAGGUUGGUACUUGUACCGACUGGAUGAGCAGCGAACGGGUGAGUAACGCGUGGGGAAUCUGCCUUUGAGCGGGGGACAACAUUUGGAAACGAAUGCUAAUACCGCAUAAAAACUUUAAACACAAGUUUUAAGUUUGAAAGAUGCAAUUGCAUCACUCAAAGAUGAUCCCGCGUUGUAUUAGCUAGUUGGUGAGGUAAAGGCUCACCAAGGCGAUGAUACAUAGCCGACCUGAGAGGGGGAUCGGCCAAAUUGGGACUGAGACACGGCCCAAAAUCCUACGGGAGGCAGCAGUAGGGAAUCUUCGGCAAUGGACGAAAGGCUGAACGAGCAACGCCGCGGGAGGGAAGAAGGGUUUCGGAUCGUAAAACUCUGUUGGUAGAGAAGAACGUUGGUGAGAGUGGAAAGCGCAUCAAGUGACGGUAACUACUCAGAAAGGGACGGCUAACUACGUG